CCCUUAGAUGUCCUGGGCCGCACGCGCGCUACACUGACAUGUUCAACAAGUUUCUCCUAGUUCGACAGGACUGGGAAAUCUUUGAACGCAUGUCGGGAUAGGGAUAGAUCAUUGCAAUUAUUGAUCUUGAACGAGGAAUUCCUAGUAAACGCGAGUCAUCAGCUCGCAUUGAUUACGUCCCUGCCCUUUGUACACACCGCCCGUCGCACCUACCGAUUGAAUGUUUCGGUGAAGAUUCCGGAUAGGACUGAUUUGAUUUAUUUCAUUUCUGACCUAAAAGCUAUCUAAACCUCAACAUUUAGAGGAAGGUGAAGUCGUAACA
rnacentral:rRNA from 1 species